UACGAAGGGGGCUAGCGUUGUUCGGAAUUACUGGGCGUAAAGCGCACGUAGGCGGAUUUGUUAGUCAGGGGUGAAAUCCCGGGGCUCAACCUCGGAACUGCCUUUGAUACUGCAAGUCUCGAGUCCGGAAGAGGUGAGUGGAAGUCCUAGUGUAGAGGUGAAAUUCGUAGAUAUUAGGAGGAACACCAGUGGCGAAGGCGGCUCACUGGUCCGGUACUGACGCUGAGGUGCGAAAGCGUGGGGAGCAAACAGG
rnacentral:rRNA from 1 species